rnacentral:rRNA from 1 species
ACCGGCAGCUCAAGUGGUGGCCAUUAUUAUUGGGCCUAAAGCGUUCGUAGCCGGUUUGAUAAGUCUCUGGUGAAAUCCCGCAGCUUAACUGUGGGACUUGCUGGAGAUACUAUCAGACUUGAGGUCGGGAGAGGUUAGGGGUACUCCCAGGGUAGGGGUGAAAUCCUAUAAUACUGGGAGGAGCACCUGUGGCGAAGGCGCCUAACUGGAAGGAAUCUGGCGGUGAGUAACGAAAGCGAGGGGCGCGAACCG